rnacentral:tRNA from 1 species
AGCAGCGUAGCUCAGUGGAAAAGAGCACGGGCUUUGGAGUCAGAGGUCAUGGGUUCAAACCCCGGCUCUGCCA